rnacentral:rRNA from 1 species
AACGAGUGGCGGACGGGUGAGUAACACGUAGGUAACCUGCCCAGAAGCGGGGGACAACAUUUGGAAACAGAUGCUAAUACCGCAUAACAGCGUUGUUCGCAUGAACAUCGCUUAAAAGAUGGCUUCUCGCUAUCACUUCUGGAUGGACCUGCGGUGCAUUAGCUUGUUGGUGGGGUAAUGGCCUACCAAGGCGAUGAUGCAUAGCCGAGUUGAGAGACUGAUCGGCCACAAUGGGACUGAGACACGGCCCAUACUCCUACGGGAGGCAGCAGUAGGGAAUCUUCCACAAUGGGCGCAAGCCUGAUGGAGCAACACCGCGUGAGUGAAGAAGGGUUUCGGCUCGUAAAGCUCUGUUGUUAAAGAAGAACACGUAUGAGAGUAACUGUUCAUACGUUGACGGUAUUUAACCAGAAAGUCACGGCUAACUACGUGCCAGCAGCCGCGGUAAUACGUAGGUGGCAAGCGUUAUCCGGAUUUAUUGGGCGUAAAGAGAGUGCAGGCGGUUUUCUAAGUCUGAUGUGAAAGCCUUCGGCUUAACCGGAGAAGUGCAUCGGAAACUGGAUAACUUGAGUGCACAAGAGGGUAGUGGAACUCCAUGUGUAGCGGUGGAAUGCGUAGAUAUAUGGAAGAACACCAGUGGCGAAGGCGGCUACCUGGUCUGCAACUGACGCUGAGACUCGAAAGCAUGGGUAGCGAACAGGAUUAGAUACCCUGGUAGUCCAUGCCGUAAACGAUGAGUGCUAGGUGUUGGAGGGUUUCCGCCCUUCAGUGCCGGAGCUAACGCAUUAAGCACUCCGCCUGGGGAGUACGACCGCAAGGUUGAAACUCAAAGGAAUUGACGGGGGCCCGCACAAGCGGUGGAGCAUGUGGUUUAAUUCGAAGCUACGCGAAGAACCUUACCAGGUCUUGACAUCUUGCGCCAACCCUAGAGAUAGGGCGUUUCCUUCGGGAACGCAAUGACAGGUGGUGCAUGGUCGUCGUCAGCUCGUGUCGUGAGAUGUUGGGUUAAGUCCCGCAACGAGCGCAACCCUUGUUACUAGUUGCCAGCAUUAAGUUGGGCACUCUAGUGAGACUGCCGGUGACAAACCGGAGGAAGGUGGGGACGACGUCAGAUCAUCAUGCCCCUUAUGACCUGGGCUACACACGUGCUACAAU